GACGUAGGGCGCGAGCGUUGUCCGGAUUUAUUGGGCGUAAAGAGCUCGUAGGCGGCUUGUUGCGUCAGCUGUGAAAACCCGCAGCUCAACUGUGGGCUUGCAGCUGAUACGGGCAGGCUUGAGUUCGGUAGGGGAGACUGGAAUUCCUGGUGUAGCGGUGAAAUGCGCAGAUAUCUGGAGGAACACCGGUGGCGAAGGCGGCAUCCUGGACCAACACUGACACUGAGGAGCGAAAGCCAGGGGAGCAAACGGG
rnacentral:rRNA from 1 species